AUUGUAUCCACAAAGGCAGCUGUGAAGUGGUGAAGUGUGAGGUACAAAAAGCAAUGUGGCUGCUCUAUGUGGUUGUGCUGUUCUUGCUGUUCACAGUAGUUGUUGGAGAAUGUCAUUGCUACAAUGCAAGUACCUGCACAGCAUCUCCGGCAACCACUUGUCGCCAAUAUGGCGGUUGCAUGAAGGGAUGGUUCGGUCCGACCUGCCAGAAACAAAACGUUGCAUUGCUAAGACCUGUGACUCAGACCUCCAUCUACUAU